AUAUAAGUGUUGACCUAAGCCCCUGUGCAGGGGCUCGGCUCCCGAACCGUACGUGAGCUGCCUCGUACGGCUCUUCCUAAGAACUUGAAGCCCCCUCUCCCUAAAUCAAACUUUUUUUUAAAGCCUUCGCCCUCCUAUUCAACGGGGCUAUUAGAGAAGCAGCUUCGUUCCUUGACUUCUUUGCUCAGUCAAGCUUCCUUGUUCCUUAGUGUAGUCUCGGUCCAUAGUUUAAGACUCCGUUCCUUAUAGUAUAGUCUAUAUCCACAGCUGACGGUGACUCCGUACCGACGCCUUUCCCUUUGUAGACGGCUAAGUUACUUCGUCACUUUAACGUACUUUUUUUCUUACUCUAUCAUAGGCCUUCGUCGGGCUGGCUUUCAUCCCAAAGCCUAUAGGCUUUGGCUUGGUUUCGAUAUCGCUCAUGACUUGUUAUAGAGUCCGUGUAGUGGUCGGCCUUCCCAUCAGAAAUGGGAAAUGAUAGAGUGGUCGGCCUUUUGCUUGCCUCCUUCCAGCUCAGAAUGCCUAAUGCCUAUUAUAAGUUCUAGAAGCUAACCGCCAGAAGCUCACCCUUCGGGUCUCGCUUCCAGCGCGGGAGGCCAAGCAUUCUGCCAGACGUCCCGCCUUGGGAACCCCGUUCGCCUUUGUUCAGUAGAUCUUCAAAAAAAAGAAAGACUUCAAUGCAACCUUAACUACAACUACAUUACGCAAGCUCCACCAAUACCUACCU